GCAAGUCGAGCGGUAACAUUUCUAGCUUGCUAGAAGAUGACGAGCGGCGGACGGGUGAGUAAUGCUUGGGAACAUGCCUUGAGGUGGGGGACAACAGUUGGAAACGACUGCUAAUACCGCAUAAUGUCUACGGACCAAAGGGGGCUUCGGCUCUCGCCUUUAGAUUGGCCCAAGUGGGAUUAGCUAGUUGGUGAGGUAAUGGCUCACCAAGGCGACGAUCCCUAGCUGGUUUGAGAGGAUGAUCAGCCACACUGGGACUGAGACACGGCCCAGACUCCUACGGGAGGCAGCAGUGGGGAAUAUUGCACAAUGGGCGCAAGCCUGAUGCAGCCAUGCCGCGUGUGUGAAGAAGGCCUUCGGGUUGUAAAGCACUUUCAGUCAGGAGGAAAGGUUAGUAGUUAAUACCUGCUAGCUGUGACGUUACUGACAGAAGAAGCACCGGCUAACUCCGUGCCAGCAGCCGCGGUAAUACGGAGGGUGCGAGCGUUAAUCGGAAUUACAGGGCGUAAAGCGUACGCAGGCGGUUUGUUAAGCGAGAUGUGAAAGCCCCGGGCUCAACCUGGGAACUGCAUUUCGAACUGGCAAACUAGAGUGUGAUAGAGGGUGGUAGAAUUUCAGGUGUAGCGGUGAAAUGCGUAGAGAUCUGAAGGAAUACCGAUGGCGAAGGCAGCCACCUGGGUCAACACUGACGCUCAUGUACGAAAGCGUGGGGAGCAAACGGGAUUAGAUACCCCGGUAGUCCACGCCGUAAACGAUGUCUACUAGAAGCUCGGAACCUCGGUUCUGUUUUUCAAAGCUAACGCAUUAAGUAGACCGCCUGGGGAGUACGGCCGCAAGGUUAAAACUCAAAUGAAUUGACGGGGGCUCGCACAAGCGGUGAGCAUGUGGUUUAAUUCGAUGCAACGCGAAGAACCUUACCUACACUUGACAUACAGAGAACUUUCUAGAGAUAGAUUGGUGCCUUCGGGACUCUGAUACAGGUGCUGCAUGCUGUCGUCAGCUCGUGUGUGAGAUGUGGGUUAAGUCCCGCAACGAGCGCAACCCUAUUCUUAGUGCUAGCAGGUAUGCUGAGACUCUAGGAGACUGCGGUGAUAACGGAGGAGGGGUGGACGACGUCAAGUCAUCAUGGGCU
rnacentral:rRNA from 1 species